GAUGAACGCUGGCGGCGUGCCUAAUACAUGCAAGUCGAGCGAACGGACGAGAAGCUUGCUUCUCUGAUGUUAGCGGCGGACGGGUGAGUAACACGUGGAUAACCUACCUAUAAGACUGGGAUAACUUCGGGAAACCGGAGCUAAUACCGGAUAAUAUUUUGAGCCGCAUGGUUCAAAAGUGAAAGACGGUCUUGCUGUCACUUAUAGAUGGAUCCGCGCUGCAUUAGCUAGUUGGUAAGGUAACGGCUUACCAAGGCAACGAUGCAUAGCCGACCUGAGAGGGUGAUCGGCCACACUGGAACUGAGACACGGUCCAGACUCCUACGGGAGGCAGCAGUAGGGAAUCUUCCGCAAUGGGCGAAAGCCUGACGGAGCAACGCCGCGUGAGUGAUGAAGGUCUUCGGAUCGUAAAACUCUGUUAUUAGGGAAGAACAUAUGUGUAAGUAACUGUGCACAUCUUGACGGUACCUAAUCAGAAAGCCACGGCUAACUACGUGCCAGCAGCCGCGGUAAUACGUAGGUGGCAAGCGUUAUCCGGAAUUAUUGGGCGUAAAGCGCGCGUAAGGCGGUUUUUUAGUCUGAUGUGAAAGCCCACGGCUCAACCGUGGAGGGUCAUUGGAAACUGGAAAACUUGAGUGCAGAAGAGGAAAGUGGAAUUCCAUGUGUAGCGGUGAAAUGCGCAGAGAUAUGGAGGAACACCAGUGGCGAAGGCGACUUUCUGGUCUGUAACUGACGCUGAUGUGCGAAAGCGUGGGGAUCAAACAGGAUUAGAUACCCUGGUAGUCCACGCCGUAAACGAUGAGUGCUAAGUGUUAGGGGGUUUCCGCCCCUUAGUGCUGCAGCUAACGCAUUAAGCACUCCGCCUGGGGAGUACGACCGCAAGGUUGAAACUCAAAGGAAUUGACGGGGACCCGCACAAGCGGUGGAGCAUGUGGUUUAAUUCGAAGCAACGCGAAGGACCUUACCAAAUCUUGACAUCCUUUGACAACUCUAGAGAUAGAGCCUUCCCCUUCGGGGGACAAAGUGACAGGUGGUGCAUGGUUGUCGUCAGCUCGUGUCGUGAGAUGUUGGGUUAAGUCCCGCAACGAGCGCAACCCUUAAGCUUAGUUGCCAUCAUUAAGUUGGGCACUCUAAGUUGACUGCCGGUGACAAACCGGAGGAAGGUGGGGAUGACGUCAAAUCAUCAUGCCCCUUAUGAUUUGGGCUACACACGUGCUACAAUGGACAAUACAAAGGGCAGCGAAACCGCGAGGUCAAGCAAAUCCCAUAAAGUUGUUCUCAGUUCGGAUUGUAGUCUGCAACUCGACUACAUGAAGCUGGAAUCGCUAGUAAUCGUAGAUCAGCAUGCUACGGUGAAUACGUUCCCGGGUCU
rnacentral:rRNA from 1 species